rnacentral:tRNA from 1 species
GGUGGCUCAGUGGUAGAGUGCUUGCCUUGCAUGCAUGAGGUCCUGAGUUUGAUUCCUCAGCACCA